UGCCUAAUACAUGCAAGUCGAACGAAGCUUUCUUUCACCGAAUGCUUGCAUUCACCGAAAGAAGCUUAGUGGCGAACGGGUGAGUAACACGUAGGUAACCUGCCCGAAAGAGGGGGAUAACACUUGGAAACAGGUGCUAAUACCGCAUAACCAUGAACACCGCAUGAUGUUCAUGUAAAAGACGGCUUUUGCUGUCACUUUUGGAUGGGCCUGCGGCGUAUUAACUUGUUGGUGGGGUAACGGCCUACCAAGGUGAUGAUACGUAGCCGAACUGAGAGGUUGAUCGGCCACAUUGGGACUGAGACACGGCCCAAACUCCUACGGGAGGCAGCAGUAGGGAAUCUUCCACAAUGGACGAAAGUCUGAUGGAGCAACGCCGCGUGAAUGAAGAAGGCCUUCGGGUCGUAAAAUUCUGUUGUCAGAGAAGAACGUGCGUGAGAGUAACUGUUCACGUAUUGACGGUAUCUGACCAGAAAGCCACGGCUAACUACGUGCCAGCAGCCGCGGUAAUACGUAGGUGGCAAGCGUUGUCCGGAUUUAUUGGGCGUAAAGGGAACGCAGGCGGUCUUUUAAGUCUGAUGUGAAAGCCUUCGGCUUAACCGAAGUAGUGCAUUGGAAACUGGAAGACUUGAGUGCAGAAGAGGAGAGUGGAACUCCAUGUGUAGCGGUGAAAUGCGUAGAUAUAUGGAAGAACACCAGUGGUGAAAGCGGCUCUCUGGUCUGUAACUGACGCUGAGGUUCGAAAGCGUGGGUAGCAAACAGGAUUAGAUACCCUGGUAGUCCACGCCGUAAACGAUGAGUGCUAAGUGUUGGAGGGUUUCCACCCUUCAGUGCUGCAGCUAACGCAUUAAGCACUCCGCCUGGGGAGUACGGUCGCAA
rnacentral:rRNA from 1 species